rnacentral:rRNA from 1 species
UGGGGAAUAUUGGACAAUGGGCGAAAGCCUGAUCCAGCCAUGCCGCGUGGGUGAAGAAGGUCUUCGGAGUGUAAAGCACUUUAAGUUGGGAGGAAGGGCAGUAAGCGAAUACCUUGCUGUUUUGACGAUACCGACAGAAUAAGCACCGGCUAACUCUGUGCCAGCAGCCGCGGUAAUACAGAGGGUGCAAGCGUUAAUCGGAAUUACUGGGCGUAAAGCGCGCGUAGGUGGUUCGUUAAGUUGAAUGUGAAAGCCCCGGGCUCAACCUAGGAACUGCAUCCAAAACUGGCGAGCUAGAGUAGGGCAGAGGGUGGUGGAAUUUCCUGUGUAGCGGUGAAAUGCGUAGAUAUAGGAAGGAACACCAGUGGCGAAGGCGACCACCUGGGCUCAUACUGACACUGAGGUGCGAAAGCGUGGGGAGCAAACAGG